UUUUCUUUAAUGAUUUUUCCUGAAUUUGUCAGUAAGAAACCUUUGGCCUAGGGGUACAGCACAGAAUUAGACACUCAGAUGGAGGAACUGCACAUGACACAAGCCUGAAAGAAAAUAUCUCCCUUGGGUUUCGCAGGCCGGAGCUAUUUUUAGAGAUCCCUAGGAAUUUGACCUUACCAUUGUUGGAGCCAGGCUGCUGUGUUUUUGGAGGGCACACUUUUGGAAAAGCAGAACAUUCUCUCGGCUUCAUAGCAGACCAUUUUCCGCUGAGUGACAGCAGCGCUGUCUUCUUCAUCAGGAUCCCACAGGCUGGUCUGCAGCAGCGAUGUGUGUGUGUGUGUGAGACCCCGGCAGGUGUGUUACCCACAGUGGGAGAACUACAUCUCCCAGGAGUCACCUCCCCUUCCAGCAUCCUCCUUCGCGGUGGCAAGAUAGAGGGGAGAUAACAGGGAGCCGCAGAGACCACUGGACUGGCCGGAACACGCAAUUUUUACAGAAACAAAAUUAAUUGCUCUUAAUAAAUCUGAACUACGUCAAGUUGAACAACAUUCAUCGCGUGAACAAACAAAUACAGCUGAAUACUUCGGAUUACAACAGACAUUAUACAUGGAUCAUUUCUGAUACAUAAGUUUAAACAAUAUGGACAAACUACCAUUAUAGCCAGAAUACAGACUUCAUUCUGAUUAGGACAGAGCUGCUGUACUAACAACACUUUUACCACCUCCGACCCUUAUCGAUGGAUUUACGUCAUUUUAAAUCUAGAAAAAAGGAACGGUAAUUCUUCUCUCUUUACAAUACCAAACGGCGUUAGGUUUCCAGGUAACAAUCUGCUCUGAAAUCCGCUCCAACGAUCGCGGUUCUCUCCGGAAUUAUGACAGUCUUUCACUUUGUCCUAAUAACAACAGCUUUCCGUUCAUCGAAAGACCUACAGUUUUAAUGUCGGGUAUUGUUCGUUAUAGCAAACAGUCAUUGCCUUGUACAUAAAGUUUGUGUUCGAUUUAAAA